rnacentral:rRNA from 1 species
AAAGGUCUGGGGUACCCCCCGGCUACCAUGGGCCGGACCAUGGGGUUCCACCCCCAAAAGGGGACGCUAUUUUCCAAAACCCGUUCGUAUUUCGAAUUG